GGAAAUCAACUGACCUGGAGGUCCAGCUCCUGCAAAGAUUAGACAGAGCAGAGAAAAUAUCAAUUCUCGCUCAAGAAGACAUCUCAUCUGUCAUCAGAGAGGCACCAGUGUUGGUUUCUGAGCGAGACAUGGAGAGAUGGAAGAAAGGGAG